CAGCUGAAGAGGACCAUCGUCAGUAUUGCAUUGUGGGAUGGAGAGCAUGGUACUUUCCACAAAAAGACGUGUCGAUGCACAGAGACAAACAAUGAAGGAGAAGACAGACUUCAGAGGGUCAUGUUGAGUCAUGCUCUGCAGGAGUCUUUGGAUGAGCUCAUGGUAAAGAAGCGUUGGUUUCGUGACAGAGAUGACUUCACUGUCAUUGUGCAGGACGCACCUUUAAUCACACACCUUUCACCUGUCUCUAGUGGGAAGCAUCUCUCUAAGUCAGCAUCACAACAAACUGAUAAGCUGAUGGUGCAGCUGUGGACUAACCUGCUG